GACGAACGCUGGCGGCGCGCCUAACACAUGCAAGUCGAACGAGAGAUGAAGAGCUUGCUCUUCAAAUCGAGUGGCGAACGGGUGAGUAACGCGUGAGGAACCUGCCUCAAAGAGGGGGACAACAGUUGGAAACGACUGCUAAUACCGCAUAAGCCCACGGCUCGGCAUCGAGCAGAGGGAAAAGGAGCAAUCCGCUUUGAGAUGGCCUCGCGUCCGAUUAGCUGGUUGGUGAGGUAACGGCCCACCAAGGCGACGAUCGGUAGCCGGACUGAGAGGUUGAACGGCCACAUUGGGACUGAGACACGGCCCAGACUCCUACGGGAGGCAGCAGUGGGGAAUAUUGCACAAUGGGGGAAACCCUGAUGCAGCGACGCCGCGUGGAGGAAGAAGGUUUUCGGAUUGUAAACUCCUGUUGUUGAGGAAGAUAAUGACGGUACUC
rnacentral:rRNA from 1 species